rnacentral:rRNA from 1 species
ACUCCUACGGGAGGCAGCAGUGGGGAAUAUUGCACAAUGGGGGAAACCUUGAUGCAGCCAUGCCGCGUGUGUGAAGAAGGCCUUCGGGUUGUAAAGCACUUUCAGUAGGGAGGAAGGUAGUGUAGUUAACACCUGCAUUAUUUGACGUUACCUACAGAAGAAGCACCGGCUAACUCCGUGCCAGCAGCCGCGGUAAUACGGAGGGUGCGAGCGUUAAUCGGAAUUACUGGGCGUAAAGCGCAUGCAGGCGGCCUGUUAAGUCAGAUGUGAAAGCCCGGGGCUUAACCUCGGAAUUGCAUUUGAAACUGGCAGGCUAGAGUCUUGUAGAGGGGGGUAGAAUUUCAGGUGUAGCGGUGAAAUGCGUAGAGAUCUGAAGGAAUACCAGUGGCGAAGGCGGCCCCCUGGACAAAGACUGACGCUCAGAUGCGAAAAGCGUGGGGAGCAAACAGGAUUAGAUACCCUGGUAGGAUAGCG